CUAUUCUAUUGAUUCCGUAUGCUUCUGUAGACUAGAAUAAUGGCAAGUAGGCAUGUGAGCUUUCCAAAGUUCUCAGUUGGGUGGUAACGAUGUAAACAACGUUAGCUAAAUUUGUCUGUUGUGAUCGAGUGCAACAACUCUCCAUGCUCUAGCUCUAAAUCAGAGCAAGCACAAGCAUUGGACAGCGAUUCAUCACGUUCUUCAGCCACACACACUUCACACACUAAGGAAUUGUAUGUUGCGGAUGGUGAUGCAUCUUUCAAAGUGGUGAUUCAAAGUUGCACGAAAAAG